rnacentral:rRNA from 1 species
UACAGAGGGUGCAAGCGUUGUUCGGAAUUAUUGGGCGUAAAGCGCGUGUAGGCGGCUUUGCAAGUCGGGUGUGAAAGCCCUCGGCUCAACCGAGGAAGUGCGCCCGAAACUGCAGAGCUUGAGUACCGGAGAGGAUGGCGGAAUUCCCCAAGUAGAGGUGAAAAUUCGUAGAUAUGGGGAGGAACACCGGUGGCGAAGGCGGCCAUCUGGACGGAUACUGACGCUGAGACGCGAAAGCGUGGGUAGGCAAACAGGA